rnacentral:misc_RNA from 1 species
AAAGAUUCAUAUUCUGAUCACUAGAUUGUAUGGUUUGAAAGAAAAAUAUGUGUGUUCGUGCUCAUGUUUGUGAGAUAUUCAAACCUAGGAAGAUAUGGAUCCAAAUAAUAAAUAGGUUCUAUGUUAAGCAUGCUGUCCAGGGGAUAUAUGUCAAGCAUUGUGUUGUGAGUUAAUUUCCUUAUCUAUUAUCUUAUCAUGUCCUUGUGUUAUCACGUCCAUGUCUAUUGUUUAUCUUUGUAUUUCACAGAUUCAGUCAAGCCACAGUUUAGUAAAUUCUGGAGUCUGUUGCUUUAUUUUAAGUGCAAGUUAUUUGUUAUAUAUUUGGUUUAAAAAGGCAUGCUGGAUUUUCUAAUAUUUCUUGAGAAUCCUCUCUGUUCAUUUUUUCCACAUGACAGUUUAAUUUUU